rnacentral:rRNA from 1 species
UUAAAUUGAAGAGUUUGAUCAUGGCUCAGAUUGAACGCUGGCGGCAGGCCUAACACAUGCAAGUCGAACGGUAACAGGAAGCAGCUUGCUGCUUCGCUGACGAGUGGCGGACGGGUGAGUAAUGUCUGGGAAACUGCCUGAUGGAGGGGGAUAACUACUGGAAACGGUAGCUAAUACCGCAUAACGUCGCAAGACCAAAGAGGGGGACCUUCGGGCCUCUUGCCAUCGGAUGUGCCCAGAUGGGAUUAGCUUGUUGGUGGGGUAACGGCUCACCAAGGCGACGAUCCCUAGCUGGUCUGAGAGGAUGACCAGCCACACUGGAACUGAGACACGGUCCAGACUCCUACGGGAGGCAGCAGUGGGGAAUAUUGCACAAUGGGCGCAAGCCUGAUGCAGCCAUGCCGCGUGUAUGAAGAAGGCCUUCGGGUUGUAAAGUACUUUCAGCGGGGAGGAAGGGAGUAAAGUUAAUACCUUUACUCAUUGACGUUACCCGCAGAAGAAGCACCGGCUAACUCCGUGCCAGCAGCCGCGGUAAUACGGAGGGUGCAAGCGUUAAUCGGAAUUACUGGGCGUAAAGCGCACGCAGGCGGUUUGUUAAGUCAGAUGUGAAAUCCCCGGGCUCAACCUGGGAACUGCAUCUGAUACUGGCAAGCUUGAGUCUCGUAGAGGGGGGUAGAAUUCCAGGUGUAGCGGUGAAAUGCGUAGAGAUCUGGAGGAAUACCGGUGGCGAAGGCGGCCCCCUGGACGAAGACUGACGCUCAGGUGCGAAAGCGUGGGGAGCAAACAGGAUUAGAUACCCUGGUAGUCCACGCCGUAAACGAUGUCGACUUGGAGGUUGUGCCCUUGAGGCGUGGCUUCCGGAGCUAACGCGUUAAGUCGACCGCCUGGGGAGUACGGCCGCAAGGUUAAAACUCAAAUGAAUUGACGGGGGCCCGCACAAGCGGUGGAGCAUGUGGUUUAAUUCGAUGCAACGCGAAGAACCUUACCUGGUCUUGACAUCCACAGAACUUUCCAGAGAUGGAUUGGUGCCUUCGGGAACUGUGAGACAGGUGCUGCAUGGCUGUCGUCAGCUCGUGUUGUGAAAUGUUGGGUUAAGUCCCGCAACGAGCGCAACCCUUAUCCUUUGUUGCCAGCGGUCCGGCCGGGAACUCAAAGGAGACUGCCAGUGAUAAACUGGAGGAAGGUGGGGAUGACGUCAAGUCAUCAUGGCCCUUACGACCAGGGCUACACACGUGCUACAAUGGCGCAUACAAAGAGAAGCGACCUCGCGAGAGCAAGCGGACCUCAUAAAGUGCGUCGUAGUCCGGAUUGGAGUCUGCAACUCGACUCCAUGAAGUCGGAAUCGCUAGUAAUCGUGGAUCAGAAUGCCACGGUGAAUACGUUCCCGGGCCUUGUACACACCGCCCGUCACACCAUGGGAGUGGGUUGCAAAAGAAGUAGGUAGCUUAACCUUCGGGAGGGCGCUUACCACUUUGUGAUUCAUGACUGGGGUGAAGUCGUAACAAGGUAACCGUAGGGGAACCUGCGGUUGGAUCACCUCCUUACCUUAAAGAAGC